ACUGGAAUUCCUGGUGUAGCGGUGAAAUGCGCAGAUAUCAGGAGGAACACCGAUGGCGAAGGCAGGUCUCUGGGCUGUAACUGACGCUGAGGAGCGAAAGCAUGGGGAGCGAACAGGAUUAGAUACCCUGGUAGUCCAUGCCGUAAACGUUGGGCACUAGGUGUGGGGGACAUUCCACGUUUUCCGCGCCGUAGCUAACGCAUUAAGUGCCCCGCCUGGGGAGUACGGCCGCAAGGCUAAAACUCAAAGGAAUUGACGGGGGCCCGCACAAGCGGCGGAGCAUGCGGAUUAAUUCGAUGCAACGCGAAGAACCUUACCAAGGCUUGACAUGUUCCUGACCGCCGUAGAGAUACGGUUUCCCCUUUGGGGCAGGUUCACAGGUGGUGCAUGGUUGUCGUCAGCUCGUGUCGUGAGAUGUUGGGUUAAGUCCCGCAACGAGCGCAACCCUCGUUCCAUGUUGCCAGCACGUAGUGGUGGGGACUCAUGGGAGACUGCCGGGGUCAACUCGGAGGAAGGUGGGGACGACGUCAAAUCAUCAUGCCCCUUAUGUCUUGGGCUUCACGCAUGCUACAAUGGCCGGUACAAUGGGUUGCGAUACUGUGAGGUGGAGCUAAUCCCAAAAAGCCGGUCUCAGUUCGGAUUGGGGUCUGCAACUCGACCCCAUGAAGUCGGAGUCGCUAGUAAUCGCAGAUCAGCAACGCUGCGGUGAAUACGUUCCCGGGCCUUGUACACACCGCCCGUCAAGUCACGAAAGUUGGUAACACCCGAAGCCGGUGGCCUAACCCUUGUGGGGGGAG
rnacentral:rRNA from 1 species